UACGGGGGGGGCAAGCGUUGUUCGGAAUUACUGGGCGUAAAGGGCUCGUAGGCGGCCAACUAAGUCAGACGUGAAAUCCCUCGGCUUAACCGGGGAACUGCGUCUGAUACUGGUUGGCUUGAAUCCGGGAGAGGGAUGUGGAAUUCCAGGUGUAGCGGUGAAAUGCGCAGAUAUCGGGAGGAACACCGGUGGCGAAGGCGGUUCUCUGGGCCUUACCUGACGCUGAGGAGCGAAAGCGUGGGGAGCGAACAGG
rnacentral:rRNA from 1 species